rnacentral:rRNA from 1 species
GUUGUAUGGUUAAGUGACUAAGCGUACACGGUGGAUGCCUUGGCAGUCAGAGGCGAUGAAAGACGUAGUAACUUGCGAUAAGCCCAGAUUAGGUAGUAACAACCAUUUGAGUCUGGGAUUUCUGAAUGGGGAAACCCACGUGCAUAAGCACGUAUCCUUACCUGAAUACAUAGGGUAAGGAGGCGAACCGGGGGAACUGAAACAUCUAAGUACCCCGAGGAAAAGAAAUCAACCGAGAUUCCGAAAGUAGCGGCGAGCGAAAUUGGACUAGCCCUUAAGCUUUACACGCGUUAGACGAACGGUCUGGAAAGUCCGACGAUACAGGGUGAUAGUCCCGUAGUUGACGACGUGUGUUCAGUGAAAUCGAGUAGGGCGGGACACGUGAUAUCCUGUCUGAAUAUGGGGGGACCAUCCUCCAAGGCUAAAUACUACUGACUGACCGAUAGUGAACCAGUACCGUGAGGGAAAGGCGAAAAGAACCCCUGUGAGGGGAGUGAAAUAGAACCUGAAACCGUGUACGUACAAGCAGUAGGAGCAGGCUUGUCCUGUGACUGCGUACCUUUUGUAUAAUGGGUCAGCGACUUAUAUUCAGUGGCAAGGUUAACCAUCUAGGGGAGCCGUAGGGAAACCGAGUCUUAACUGGGCGUUCAGUCUCUGGAUAUAGACCCGAAACCAGGUGAUCUAGCCAUGGGCAGGUUGAAGGUUGAGUAACAUCAACUGGAGGACCGAACCGACUAAUGUUGAAAAAUUAGCGGAUGACUUGUGGCUAGGGGUGAAAGGCCAAUCAAACCUGGAGAUAGCUGGUUCUCCCCGAAAGCUAUUUAGGUAGCGCCUCGGACGAAUACUACUGGGGGUAGAGCACUGUUAAGGCUAGGGGGUCAUCCCGACUUACCAACCCUUUGCAAACUCCGAAUACCAGUAAGUACUAUCCGGGAGACACACGGCGGGUGCUAACGUCCGUCGUGGAGAGGGAAACAACCCAGACCGCCAGCUAAGGUCCCAAAUUACUACUAAGUGGGAAACGAUGUGGGAAGGCUCAGACAGCCAGGAUGUUGGCUUAGAAGCAGCCAUCAUUUAAAGAAAGCGUAAUAGCUCACUGGUCGAGUCGGCCUGCGCGGAAGAUGUAACGGGGCUAAGUAGUAAACCGAAGCUGCGGCAAUAUACUUUUGUAUAUUGGGUAGGGGAGCGUUCUGUAAGCGGUUGAAGGUGUGUGGUAACGCAUGCUGGACGUAUCAGAAGUGCGAAUGCUGACAUGAGUAACGAUAAAGGGGGUGAAAAACCUCCUCGCCGGAAGACCAAGGGUUCCUGUCCAACGUUAAUCGGGGCAGGGUAAGUCGACCCCUAAGGCGAGGCCGAAAGGCGUAGUCGAUGGGAAACGGGUUAAUAUUCCCGUACUUCUUACAAUUGCGAUGGGGGGACGGAGAAGGCUAGGUGGGCCUGGCGACGGUUGUCCAGGUUCAAGUGCGUAGGCUUGAGAGUUAGGUAAAUCCGGCUCUUUUUAAGGCUGAGACACGACGUCGAGCACCUACGGGUGUGAAGUCAUUGAUGCCAUGCUUCCAGGAAAAGCCUCUAAGCUUCAGAUUGUAAGGAAUCGUACCCCAAACCGACACAGGUGGUCGGGUAGAGAAUACCAAGGCGCUUGAGAGAACUCGGGUGAAGGAACUAGGCAAAAUGGUACCGUAACUUCGGGAGAAGGUACGCUCUUGAUGGUGAAGUCCCUUGCGGAUGGAGCUGACGAGAGUCGCAGAUACCAGGUGGCUGCAACUGUUUAUUAAAAACACAGCACUGUGCAAAAUCGUAAGAUGACGUAUACGGUGUGACGCCUGCCCGGUGCCGGAAGGUUAAUUGAUGGGGUUAGACUUCGGUCGAAGCUCUUGAUCGAAGCCCCGGUAAACGGCGGCCGUAACUAUAACGGUCCUAAGGUAGCGAAAUUCCUUGUCGGGUAAGUUCCGACCUGCACGAAUGGCGUAAUGAUGGCCACGCUGUCUCCACCCGAGACUCAGUGAAAUUGAAAUCGCUGUGAAGAUGCAGUGUACCCGCGGCUAGACGGAAAGACCCCGUGAACCUUUACUACAGCUUGGCACUGAACAUUGACCCUACAUGUGUAGGAUAGGUGGGAGGCUUUGAAGCACGUACGCCAGUAUGUGUGGAGCCGUCCUUGAAAUACCACCCUUGUAGUGUUGAUGUUCUAACGUCGACCCCUUAUCGGGGUUGCGGACAGUGCCUGGUGGGUAGUUUGACUGGGGCGGUCUCCUCCCAAAGAGUAACGGAGGAGCACGAAGGUGGGCUAAUCACGGUUGGACAUCGUGAGGUUAGUGCAAUGGCAUAAGCCCGCUUGACUGCGAGAAUGACAAUUCGAGCAGGUGCGAAAGCAGGUCAUAGUGAUCCGGUGGUUCUGAAUGGAAGGGCCAUCGCUCAACGGAUAAAAGGUACUCCGGGGAUAACAGGCUGAUACCGCCCAAGAGUUCAUAUCGACGGCGGUGUUUGGCACCUCGAUGUCGGCUCAUCACAUCCUGGGGCUGAAGUCGGUCCCAAGGGUAUGGCUGUUCGCCAUUUAAAGUGGUACGCGAGCUGGGUUUAGAACGUCGUGAGACAGUUCGGUCCCUAUCUGCCGUGGGCGUUGGAAGAUUGAAGGGGGCUGCUCCUAGUACGAGAGGACCGGAGUGGACGAACCUCUGGUGUUCGGGUUGUGUCGCCAGACGCAUUGCCCGGUAGCUAAGUUCGGAAUCGAUAACCGCUGAAAGCAUCUAAGCGGGAAGCGAGCCCUGAGAUGAGUCUUCCCUGAUACUUUAAGUAUCCUAAAGGGUUGUCGGAGACUACGACGUUGAUAGGUCAGGUGUGUAAGUGCUGUGAGGCAUUGAGCUAACUGAUACUAAUUGCCCGUGAGGCUUAACCAUACAACACCCAAGGGGUUU